rnacentral:rRNA from 1 species
ACCAGACUCCUACGGGAGGCAGCAGUGGGGAAUAUUGGGCAAUGGGCGCAAGCCUGACCCAGCAACGCCGCGUGAAGGAAGAAGGCUUUCGGGUUGUAAACUUCUUUUCUCAGGGACGAAUAGAUGACGGUACCUGAGGAAUAAGCCACGGCUAACUACGUGCCAGCAGCCGCGGUAAUACGUAGGUGGCAAGCGUUAUCCGGAUUUACUGGGUGUAAAGGGCGUGUAGGCGGGGACGCAAGUCAGAUGUGAGAACCACGGGCUCAACCUGUGGCCUGCAUUUGAAACUGUGUUUCUUGAGUACUGGAGAGGCAGACGGAAUUCCUAGUGUAGCGGUGAAAUGCGUAGAUAUUAGGAGGAACACCAGUGGCGAAGGCGGUCUGCUGGACAGCAACUGACGCUGAGGUGCGAAAGCGUGGGGAGCAAACAGGAUUAGAUACCCCGGUACC